rfam:Asian citrus Psyllid, Diaphorina citri - Florida Strain, whole genome shotgun sequence.
UGAUGCGGGAUAGCACGUUGAAUGCACCAGUUUCCAAUGGAUCACUGAAAUUAAGGAACGUUUUUCUAGUUUGGUAUACGGAUGGGUGGCUUUCUGGGCAGUUGCUUGAUCCCGGAUUUU